GACAGAGGGUGCAAACGUUGUUCGGAAUCACUGGGCGUAAAGCGUGCGUAGGCGGUUUGGUAAGUCGGAUGUGAAAGCCCUGGGCUCAACCCAGGAAGUGCACUCGAUACUGCCGGACUUGAGUACUGGAGAGGUUGGUGGAAUUCUCGGUGUAGAGGUGAAAUUCGUAGAUAUCGGGAAGAACACCGGUGGCGAAGGCGGCCAACUGGACAGAUACUGACGCUGAGGCACGAAAGCGUGGGGAGCAAACAGG
rnacentral:rRNA from 1 species